rnacentral:tRNA from 1 species
UCCCUGGUGGCUCAGUGGCAGAGAGCCCGCCUGCAGUGCAGGAGACGCGGGUUCAAACCCUGCGUCGGGAA